rnacentral:rRNA from 1 species
AUUGAACGCUGGCGGCAUGCCUUACACAUGCAAGUCGAACGGUAACGGGCCUUCGGGUGCCGACGAGUGGCGAACGGGUGAGUAAUGUAUCGGAACGUACCUUUCAGUGGGGGAUAACGUAGCGAAAGUUACGCUAAUACCGCAUAUUCUGUGAGCAGGAAAGCAGGGGAUCGCAAGACCUUGCGCUGAUUGAGCGGCCGAUAUCAGAUUAGCUAGUUGGUGAGGUAAAGGCUCACCAAGGCGACGAUCUGUAGCGGGUCUGAGAGGAUGAUCCGCCACACUGGAACUGAGACACGGUCCAGACUCUUACGGGAGGCAGCAGUGGGGAAUUUUGGACAAUGGGGGCAACCCUGAUCCAGCCAUGCCGCGUGAGUGAAGAAGGCCUCGGGUUGGUUAAA